rnacentral:misc_RNA from 1 species
GAUGAAGAACGUAGCGAAAUGCGAUAAGUAGUGUGAAUUGCAGAAUUCAGUGAAUCAUCGAAUCUUUGAACGCACAUUGCGCCCCUUGGUAUUCCAUGGGGCAUGCCUGUUCGAGCGUCAUCUACAACCCUCAAGCCCUGCUUGGUGUUGGGCGUCUGUCCCGCCCCCGCGCGCGGACUCGCCCCAAAUCCAUUGGCGGCGGCCCUUGCCUCCCUCUCGCGCAGCACAUUGCGCUUCUCGAGGCGUCGCGGGCCGCGCUCCACGAAGCACGCAAACCAGUCUUUGACCUCGGAUCAGGUAGGGAUACCCGCUGAACUUAAGCAUAUCAAAAGCGGAGGA